rnacentral:rRNA from 1 species
GUGAAACUCUGUCUGAAGAUAGGGGGACCAUCCUCUAAGGCUAAAUACUCGUUGCCGACCGAUAGUGAACCAGUACCGUGAGGGAAAGGCGAAAAGAACCCCUGUGAGGGGAGUGAAAUAGAUCCUGAAACCGUAUGCGUACAAGCAGUCGGAGCGGACUUGUUCCGUGACGGCGUACCUUUUGUAUAAUGGGUCAGCGACUUAUGUUCAGUGGCGAGGUUAACCGUUUAGGGGAGCCGUAGGGAAACCGAGUCUGAAUAGGGCGAUUUAGUCGCUGGGCAUAGACCCGAAACCGGGCGAUCUAUCCAUGAGCAGGUUGAAGGUUGAGUAACAUCAACUGGAGGACCGAACCCACUGUCUUUGAAAAGCCAGGGGAUGACUU